GCCCCGAUAGUUUAGUGGCUAGAAUUGAGGAUUGUGGCUCCUUAGAUGCAGGUUCAAAUCCUGCUCGGGGCACCA
rnacentral:tRNA from 1 species